rnacentral:rRNA from 1 species
GACGAACCGUGCGAACGUUGUUCGGAUUCACUGGGCUUAAAGGGCGCGUAGGCGGCUCGCCAAGUCGGGGGUGAAAUCUUUCGGCUCAACCGGAAAAUAGCUUCCGAUACUGGCGGGCUGGAGGGAGGUAGGGGCGACUGGAACUUCCGGUGGAGCGGUGAAAUGCGUAGAUAUCGGAAGGAACGCCGGUGGCGAAAGCGGGUCUCUGGGCCGAUAUUGACGCUGAGGAGCGAAAGCGUGGGGAGCGAACAGG